CAUAGGUGUCCAGUCCCACCACCAUAGGUGUCCAGUCCCAUCACCAUAGGUGUCCAGUCCCAUCACCAUAGGUGUCCAGUCUCACCACCAUAGGUGUCCAGUCUCACCACCAUAGGUGUCCAUUCUCACCACCAUAGGUGUCCAGUCCCACCACCAUAGGUGUCCAGUCUCACCACCAUAGGUGUCCAGUCCCACCACCAUAGGUGUCCAUUCCCACCACCAUAGGUGUCCAGUCCCACCACCAUAGGUGUCCAUUCCC